GACGAACGCUGGCGGCGUGCUUAACACAUGCAAGUCGAACGGGAGUAUUGAAGAAGCUUGCUUUAGAGAUACUUUAGUGGCGGACGGGUGAGUAACGCGUGAGGAGCUGUCCUAUGCAGGGGGACAACAGCUGGAAACGGCUGCUAAUACCCCAUAAGCCGAGAGGUAAAAGGAUCAAUCCGGCAGAGGAGGUACUCGCGUCCUAUCAGCUAGUAGGUGAGGUAACGGCUCACCUAGGCGAAGACGGGUAGCCGGCCUGAGAGGGCGACCGGCCACACUGGGACUGAGACACGGCCCAGACUCCUACGGGAGGCAGCAGUGGGGAAUAUUGCACAAUGGGGGAAACCCUGAUGCAGCAACGCCGCGUGGAGGAAGAAGGUUUUCGGAUUGUAAACUCCUGUCUUUUGGGACGAUAAUGACGGUACCAAAAGGGAAGCCACGGCUAACUACGUG
rnacentral:rRNA from 1 species